GACAUUUGAUAAUGUUUCUAUAAAUUUUCUAAGAAUAGUUAUAGAAAAUGUUAUCAACAGAAAAAUACUACCAAUUUCAUUUCACCUUGUAACAUGUUGAGCAAGGUGUAUAUCUUUAUGUGAUUAUGUGUAAAUGCAAUAUAUGACAUUUUGUCUUAGUUUAUAGAUAUACAUCAGUUAACAAAUGGAUUUUUGCUAGAUAAAGCAUAGAAAUAACAAUGUGUUAUAAUCAAAGUACAUCCAUUACAUACAAACGUUUGAAUAAACUAUAAUAGGUAUAGUUUAUUAACAUUACUACUACUACCCUUGUUUUGAUAAACUAUAAUAGGUAUAGUUCAUGAUACAUUACACAAUACAUAUAUUUCAAAAGUGUACAUUUAUACAAAAGGGAACUUUCAUUACGUUACAUGUAAAUUCGUUAAAGACUUUGUGAGACAUUCGCUUCACACUUACCAUUAAGUCCUGUAUUGUAACCAGAGUCUCCUGGAGGGAGAGCGUGAUAGUUGUAUAUUGAUCUAUAUUGGGUUUGACAAACUCACACCUUAACUGCAUGCAACAGUUAGACCGGCAGGUCUGGGGUGACAAAUGUCAUAAACAUUUCCGACGCCUGAAGAACGUCGUUUCAGGCCAACUAGGUCAUAGCAUGGUUAUAAUAAGCUCACAGAAAGUGUUAACAAACAUAAGAAUUUACGGUAAUUUCAUUUAAUUCAAACGCGUUUAUGUCGAUUUAAACACAUAUCAUUUUCUAUUAGUAAGAGAGGUUACUUAUACAUUUUGGUCUUCGGUUAUAAGACUACAUUACACAAAUUUUAAGGAAAAUAUCGGAUUUUUCUGAAACAAACGUGACAUUUACAAGAGAAAGACUUUUAUCAAGUUUGAAAACAAAAGCUUAUGAACUCACCAACCUUUGUGUUGACACUUUUUCAAACAACUUGUAUUAUCAGGAAAUCAAUAAACAGGUACCAAAGUGCAUUUUGAGGAUGGGACAUUAAGGCGUCAACAUAUCAUGUUUUCUUAACAUAUUGUAAUUGAUUUGGAAACAUGUAACUCAUACAAUGAUGUAACUCUUUCAAUUAUAUAUAUGUUGGUUGUGUUUGCUUAAAUUACUAUUGCAAUUGUGGUUAUGAUACUAUACAUGAAAUCCUCCACCCCCAGACGUUUCCGCCAUCCUUGGUUUGGGGGUGUGACAGAUUGGUAUCAGAGCACGGUUUAUAGUGAAUUAAGUAUGUCAAACCACAUAAGAUAUAUAAACUAUAAACACAUUUGGGACUAAAAGUCUGUGAUUCUUAAAACAUUUUAACGGGUAUGCCUUAGCAUGUGUAAUCAGUUCUAGGAAGGAUAUAGCCUGAUCAACUAUAUCCGUCCGAGAAGUGACUUACGCAUACUGGGGGAUAGUCGUAAUGGGCGACAAAUCUAAUAACCUAACUUCAUUCUACAAAGAAUACUCUAAGAUUUCACAUACCCGGGGACCCGUACUUUCCCAAUCAGGAAAAUGUUGGAUGGAUCGAGGAAGAGCCCGAGCAACAAAUCGAAGAGGACCCCGAGGAGGAACCUGAGGAGGAUCCCGAGGAGGAAUCCGAGGAAGAACAAGAAGAAGAGGAGGAAGAUGAAGAACAAGAAGAAGAGGAGGAAGAUGAUUAAGAAGAAGAGGAAGACGAUGAUAUAGACAUGGUUGAGAACGAAAUUGAAGAAGAACCGGAAGUAUUCAACCCUCCUUACAUCUCGAGGGUACCCGCACACCGCUUUGGAUACAACGGACCUCAGCCCCGUUGGGUAACGAUGAUCGAAAGGUGGAGCCGACAACAACGCAAGCGGUCACCAUAUGGCAACCAACGAGGUUAUUAUGACCUCAUCCAUGGUGGACCGGCUGAUAGAGCCCUCCCCAUCAUGACUCAGCGGAUAGCAAGUAUGGAUGAUCGUGGUAGGACGACGACCGAUCAGGUCAGGGAGCUGAGUGCCAUCGUAGAGUCUACCACUGCUCGCACCAGAGAUCUGGAACGAGACUCCCACUACAAAGACCAAUUCAUUCAGGACCUUCUCAUUGCUCGAGCAGAAGCAAAGGAGUAUCAGGAAAGAUACAUGGCACUCAAAGAGAGAAUGGUCGUAGCCGAACGGAGAUUAGCAGAACUACAGGGCACAUCAACAUCAUCUCAGGCUCCAUCAGGGAAGGAUUGUCGUGAUUAGAACUCAUUACUAUUCUCACAUCUUUGUAGUAAAAGUUUAUGAGUACGCGUUGGUGCUACUCUUUUGUAUGUAGGUUGACCCUGCGACUAAGUGAUUACGCUAUUCAAAGGGUUUUUGUGUUGUCAAAACUAUCUUUUGCAUUGAUGUAAUGUAGACCCUUAUGAGGUCAAAUUUUCCCCAAAACGUUAUGUACUAAAAGUUUAUCAAUGAAUUUGGCAUGCAUUUUAUUUUAUUGAAUGUUUGGCACUGGACUUCAUAACCUGAUCACACAAAUAGUUUACAAAUAAUAAAGUCGUGAUAAAAAUACAAAUGAGAUGAAACAAGUAACACUCGACUCGUUAUUACUAUUGAAGUCUUACCGAUUGGUCAUUUUUUUUAAAUUAUGACAGAACCAUGCCACCAAGGAAAAGACCAAGACCUUCUGGCAACACAGCGCUGCCCCCUCCGCCACCACCUCCGCAGUUUGAUCCUGCGAUGUUUCAAGCUGCAGUGACGGCAACCGUGGCGGCAGCAAUGUCGCAAAUGGGUACAAAUGGUUCUGGCGGUUCUGGAUCCGGAGCUACCAAUUCAAUUCAUGGGGACAACACGGGGCGUACAAAAGAGUGCUCUUACAAAGACUUCACGAAUGGAAAACCCGACCCUUUCAAUGGAAGCGGGGGCGUCAUCACAAUGGUGCAAUGGUUCGAAAGGGGCAGUCUUCGAAAUCUGUGCUUGUCCCGAAGCGAGCAAGGUCAAGAAUGCAGCAUUCACUUUCACUAGAAAAGCUCUUACUUGGUGGAAUGGCCAAGUUAAGUUACUUACUCCUGCAGUGGCUAACUCUAUAAGUUGGGAGGAUUUUUAAGCUUUGAUGCUAAAGGAGUACUGCCCGAGGGGCAAAAUACAAAAACUCGAAGAAGAACUCUGGAACCUCAGAAUGUCGGGCACAGAUCUUGAAACUUAUACUGCUCGCUUCAAUGACCUAGCACUCAUCUGUCCAACAAUGGUCACUCCAGAGGAGAAGAAGGUGGAGCAAUACCUCUAGGGGCUGUCAUCCCAGAUUCAAGAUAGUGUACUGGCCUCGAAACCCACUACCUUUGAAAGUGCCAAGGAAUUGGCACAACAACUUAUCGAUCACAGGGCUAGCCGUGGUACCGUGAUAGCUACCACCGACCAAACAAAAGGAGGGAACAACAAGAGGAAGUUCUGGAACAAUAAAAAGAAACAACCGACGCAGGACCCCGCCAAGAAGCAACAGAUUGUUGCUAUCCGUGCUGCCACCACUGCUACCUCUCCGACACCACCAAAGCAAUAUGCAGGGAGUCUCCUUGAGUGCAACAAGGGCAACUUCCACCACAAUGGUGCUUGUCGGGAAAUGCACUGCAAAAACUGUGACAGAAAAGGGCACACUGCUCGUUUCUGUAAAGCACCAGCACGAUUGAUCAACCAAGUUGCCAAUGCAGGGGCAAGCCAAACCUGCUAUGGAUGUGGUGAAGCGGGGCACUUCAGGAGGAACUGACCCAAGGCACAAGCCCCUAAUGUUGGGGGUAUAGGAAGAGUCCUAACUUUAGGGCAUGGAGAAGCAGUCAAGGACCCCUCGGUGGUUACUGGUAUGUUCCUCCUCAAUAACUCUUAUGCAUGCGUACUUUUCGAUAGUGGGGCAGAAAGAAGUUUCGUAAGUCACCAAUUCAAACAUAUACUUAAGCAAAAUUCCCAGUCAUUAAAAUAUUCUUAAGUCAUAGAAAUGGAAAACGGAAAGGUUGAGCGCGCUAACGAUAUUUACAUAGGGUGUACUCUCACUCUAGACAACCAUUUGUUCAAAACUGAUCUAAUGCCAGUCACCAUAAAAAGUUUUGACAUAAUCAUUGGUAUGGAUUGGUUAAGCUCUCAUCGUGCCGACAUCCUAUGUUACGAAAGGGCUGUUCACCUUAAUCUGCCAAACAGCGAAACCCUUCUCAUCUUUGGAGAUAAACCCAGUGUAAAUUUGCAAAUCAUCUCUUGCGUCAAAGCCCAAAGGUACCUCUGAAAGGAAUACCAAGCAUUCUUAGCCCACGUCGUAGACAAGAAACAAGAGGUGAAGGACAUCAAAGAAAUUCCAGAAGUAUGCAACUUCCCUGACGUAUUCCCAGACGACCUGCCAGGUGUACCACUCGCACGACAAGUCGAAUUCCGAAUCGACUUAAUUCCUGGAGCUACCCCCGUUGUCAAAGCUCCAUACCGCCUAGCACCGGCAGAGAUGCAAGAACUGUCCAACCAGUUGAAUGAACUGUUGAGCAAAGGGUUCAUUAGACCGAGCUUUUCACCCUGGGGUGCACCAGUCCUUUUUGUGAAAAAGAAGGAUGGAUCAUUUCGCAUGUGCAGCGACUACCGGGAAGUAAACAAACUUACCAUGAAGAACCGAUAUCCCCUGCCCCGAAUCGACAACCUUAUUGAUCAACUUCAGGGAGCAAGUUAUUUUUCAAAAAUCGACUUGAGGUCGGGCUAUCAUCAGCUGCGAGUUCAAGAAGUAGAUGUCCCCAAGACAACAUUCAGAACUCGCUACGGGCACUACGAGUUUGUAGUGAUGCCAUUCGGAUUAACCAACACGCCUGCGAUGUUCAUGGAUUUGAUGAACCGAGUGUGCCGACCCUUCCUUGAUAAAUUCGUGAUCGUGUUCAUCGACGAUAUCUUGGUCUAUUCGAGAAGCGAAUAAGAGCACAGGCAACACCUACGAUUAGUUCUGGAUACCCUAAGAGCCAAGAAGCUUUACGCUAAGUUGUCAAAGUGCGAAUUUUGGCUACGAUAAGUGGGAUUCCUUGGCCACGUGGUAAGCAAGGGAGGAAUACACGUGGAUCCCUCAAAGACCUAGGCGAUUGAAAACUGGUCAGCACCUACAACGCCAACAUAAAUCCGACAAUUUUUGGGACUCGCAGGCUACUACCGAAGAUUCAUACAGAACUUCUCCAAGAUUGCUAAGCCCCUCACCCCCCUGACUCAGAAAGGUGUGGUGUUCAAAUGGGAAGAUAAACAAGAAGCCGCCUUCCAGACACUAAAGCAAACCCUAUGCAGCGCACUAAUCUUGUCUCUUCUAGAAGGAACUGAUGAUUUUGUGGUGUAUUGCGAUGCUUCGAAUCAAGGUCUCGGUUGUGUGCUCAUGCAAAGGGGGAAGGUUAUCGCUUACGCGUCAAGGCAACUUAAGACCCACGAAGUUAGCUAUACCACCCACGACCUCGAAUUAGGAGUUGUAGUGUUUGCCUUGAAGAUCUGGAGACACUACCUCUACGACACAAAGUGCACCAUCUUCACCGAUCACAAAAGUCUUCAGCAUAUCCUCAAUCAAAAAGAGCUAAACAUGCGAAAAAGAAGAUGGGUAGAGCUACUAAACGAUUAUGAGUGCGAAAUACGUUAUCAUCCGGGCAAGGCUAAUGUUGUAGCCGAUGCCCUAAGCAGAAAAGAAUACUCGGGUCGCCGGGUGAAGUCACUAACGAUGACGAUCCAUUCGUACCUGUUCACACAAAUCAAGAAAGCUCAACGUGAAGCCUUGAAACCAGAAAACGUGACGGGUGAGGCAUUGAGAGGGAUGGAUAAAAACCUAGAAGUCAAGGAGGACGGAGCUCGCUACCUCAUGAACCAGAUCUGGACACUAAAGUUCAGUGGGUUCCAAGACGUUGUCAUGAAUGAAGCACACAAGACACGAUAUUCCAUCCAUCCAGGUUCGAAUAAGAUGUAUCUAGACCUCAAGAAGUUGUACUGGCAGCUGAACAUGAAAGCUGAGAUUGCUACCUAUGUGGGCAAGUGUCUGACUUGCGCCAAGGUCAAGGUAGAAUACAAGAAGCCAUCAGGACUACUAUAACAGCCGGAUAUACCUGAGUGGAAGUGGGAGCGGAUAACCAUGGAUUUCAUAAACAAACUGCCUAAGACAUCGGGUGGGCUUGACACCGUAUGGGUAAUCGUAGACAGAUUAACCAAGUAUGCGCACUUCCUACCAAUAAAGGAAACCGACAAGAUGGAGAAGUUAACCAGGACAUACAUCAAGGAGAUUGUGCGACUGCAUGGUGUACCAAUAUCCAUUAUCUCUGACCGAGAUAGUAGAUUCACCUCGCGAUUUUAGCAGUCCUUACAGAAAUCUCUCCGAACUAGGCUAGAUAUGAGUAUGGCCUACCAUCCGCAAACCAACGGGCAGCGCGAGCGUACUAUACAGACGUUAGAAGACAUGUUGAGAGCCUGUGUGAUAGACUUUGGUUAGGCGUGGGAUACUCAGUUACCGCUUAUCGAAUUUUCCUAUAAUAACAACUAUCACACUAGCAUUGGAGUCACUCCAUUCGAAGCUCUCUAUGGUCGCAAGUGUAGAUCACCUCUGUGUUGGGCCGAAGUGGGGGAUACUCAGCUAGCUAGGGGCAAGUCCCUGAUAGCACCCUUACCAGGCAUGAAAUCAUAAGGGAGACCACAGAAAAGAUUGUUCAAAUUCGGGAAAGACUGAAGGCGUCUCGUGAUCGACAAAAGAGUUACGCCAACAAGCGACACAAACCCUUGGAACUCCAAGUCGAAGAUCGAGUACUACUGAAGGUUUCCCCUUGGAAAGGAAUGAUACGUUUCGGUAAGCGUGGAAACUAAACCCGAGGUACAUCGGACCGUUUGAAAUCCUUGCCAUGAUUUGUCCCGUGGCGUACAAACUCCGAUUACCACAAGAGCUUAGUAACGUACACCCUACCUUCCACCAAGGUUGUAGAACUCGUUACUCGGUACCUGUUCGGCCGAGUACUGAGUAGAGAGUACUCGGGAGUACUCGGAUUUGGAAAUUUGUGUAGAAAUAUUUUUAGGGAAAUUAUAUAUGUCAAAAUCAUAAGACAAAAUCAUAAGUUGAUUGAAAUAUAUAACAAAAUUGGAUACAUGUGGAUACACAAAAAAUGAAAAACACAUAUUGGUCUCACUUCGUGAAUAAUUACUGAAAAUUUUAGAUAUAUAUGUAGUAAUAAUCACAUGUGUGUUUGUUAAAUAAUAAAUCAUUAAGUAUAUUAUACAUAUUAAUCACAAAGUUGACCGAAUUUCACAACACUACUCUGUUCAUAAGUGGCCGAUCGGGGAGUACUUGGGAUUAUGUAACUCGCCUCGGCAAGAGGGGGAGUAGCGAGUACUCGGAGGAGUAAUCGGCUAACUCGGUGAGGUUUACAACACUGCCUUCCACGUAUCAAACUUGAAAAAGUGUCUAUCGGAUGAGACACUUGUAAUACCUCUCGACGAAAUCGAAGUUAACGAAAAUCUCCACUUCGUGGAAGAACCAGUCGAAGUCAUGGAUCGAGAGAUCAAGCGAACAAAAUAGAGUCGUAUUCCCAUUGUAAAGGUCCGCUGGAAUGCUAAACGGGGACCUGAGUUCACUUGGGAACGCGGAGAUCAAAUGAAACAAAAAUACCCGCAUCUUUUUCCUAACUCUUGAAGUCCCAGUCAAAACGUAAAUUUCGGGACGAAAUUCCCUCUAGUGGAGGAUGAUGUGACAAUAAUCAAAUUCAGGUCAAGUCAAAGUCAAACAAAGUCAAUAAGUUAAACCAAACGACUCAAUUAGCCCUUGCGUAUUAGGGAUUACGUUGUGUAUUUACUAAACAAUCCGCUAUUUUAAUGAGAGCAUCAUUUGAAAAAUCCAUGUGAUUGAAUUUUUCCUAAGCCUUAAAUGCGGUAAACAAUGAACCAAAGCGAUAAAACACUAAUGCACACUCAUCGGGAGUGUGUAAGACACUAAAACAUGGCUUAAUGGGGUUUACGGACCUUGCAUUGCGAAGCCGGACACUCAAAAAGGUCACAAACGAAACCUCUCUCAAUCGUUUUCACUCUAUCUCUUUCUAUUUGAAAUCUCUCCCAAAUCUCUCGCAAUGAUUCCUGUAACCUUUUGAAGUCAUUCGGGUCAUUCCGACCCUUAACCGGGUCAAAAAUCGCUUAAAACGGAGUUAGAACGGGUAAAAUACCCUAAAAGACCCGAAACCCUUUAUGUGGGGCUGAAGCCUCUUAGGGCCGAGAAGCCUCUUAGGGACCGAAACCAAGAGGACCGAACACCUCUGCUGAACCGAAAGCCUUCUCGGAACCGAAACCCCCCUUUCAGGACCGAACCUCGCAGACUGAACCCCCCCCCCUUUCGGGCCCGAACCUCACACAAGCCCGAACCCGAAGUUCCUGUUCAUAUCGGUCCAUUUGCUCCUGCUCGCCUCUCGGUUCAGUUCGCUCCCUCGGUCUAUUUCGCUUCUGACACUUUCAGACCAAACUGCCUUUUGCUUCUUGUUGUUUCGCUGCAGUUCGCCUCUCGCCCAGCCUCAGGAGGACCGAACCUCCGGCCAGGACCAAGAGUUCUCGCUGGAAGAUCAAUUCUUUCCGGUUUUCGACUACGACUUCAUUUUAGCUUCGUUUUUCAUCAUUUUAACGCGGGAUUUUCACCCAAAACUUUAUUUUAACAUAUAAGACCCCUUAAUUAAUGAUUAAUCACGUUUUUAAGGAUAAAACCUUAUCCAAGAAGAGUGGGUGAAGUACAAAGGNUGGUUGCUUUUUUUUUGUAUUAUGCCACAAGCACCCACCAUACCCACUCCAUGACUAACCCACACUCCUCCCCACCAUACCUUGUCACUUCCUUGUCUUUUUUACCUCUCUCACAAGUCAUUUCCACGUUUUUAGAGCUGGAUAUUCAUCCUCUCUCCUCAUAUUCUUUCACUUGCUCCCAUUUCACCAAAAAUACAACACAACUUUUCUCUCAAACUUUUUCUCUCUAUUUCAAGACUCCAAGGCUGAUCUUCAAGAUUUAUUCUUCUCUUGGUAAGUAUAACUCAUACUCCUUGUGAUUAUUGCACUUCAUUCUACUCAAAUCAUUGAUUGCUUACACAAACUCCAUCACUGUGAUGUUAGAUUCUCGAAAAUCUUCAAGGCAUCUUCAAGUGUUCUUGAGUUGAUCACUUCCAUUUUUCAACAAUCAUCUACUGAAAUCACAUAAGGUGAGUUCAUACCCCUACAUUUUCAUAUUUUCUUAUGUUUUAAGGGGGAGAAUACAAGUUAAAUCAUCAAGAACACAACUAAAUAUUUCUAACAGCUUACAUCAGAAAAGUUGGACUCUAUUCACGGACUAUUUUGGUCAACUAAAACAUUUUUGUUUUCCAAACUGUACAAGGUGCAAGUAGUUCAAGUUCUUAGCUUUAAAAUGACUACUUGAACAUCUCCACAUGAUUUUUCUACAAUUUAUGGUGAUUUUUACAAAACUGUCUAUCAUUCUAAACAUCAAUCCGGACCGGUCUGUGAUUAUGGACUUAUUCACACAAGUUAGAGGUCACUAAAAAUCGUGGGAAAAUUUAUGAACAAACUAGACUCAUUUUCCAAACUCUCAUAAUUUACGGAAUUUGAUUUGGACAUUUGAUAAUGUUUCUAUAAAUUUUCUAAGAACAGUUACAGAAAAUGUUAUCAACAGAAAAAUACNAAAAUACUACAUUUCAUUUCACCUUGUAACAUGUUGAGCAAGGUGUAUAUCUUUAUGUGAUUAUGUGUAGAUGCAAUAUAUGACAUUUUGUCUUAGUAUAUAGAUAUACAUCAGUUAACAAAUGGAUUUUUGCUAGAUAAAGCAUAGAAAUAACAAUGUGUUAUAAUCAAAGUACAUCCAUUACAUACAAACGUUUGAAUAAACUAUAAUAGGUAUAGUUUAUGUACAUUACUACUACUACCCUUGUUUUGCUAAACUAUAAUAGGUAUAGUUUAUGAUACAUUACACAAUACAUAUAUUUCAAAAGGGUACAUUUAUACAAAAGGGAACUUUCAUUACGUUACAUGUAAAUUCGUUAAAGAUUUUGUGAGACAUUCGCUUCACACUUACCAUUAAGUCCUGUAUUGUAACCAGAGUCUUCUGGAGGGUGAGCGUGAUACUUGUAUAUAGAUCUAUAUUGGGUUUGACAAACCCACACCUUAACUGCAUGCAAUAGUUAGAUCGGCAGGUCUGGGGUGACAAAUGUCAUAAACAUUUCUGACGCUUGAAGAACGUCGUUUCAGGCUAACUAUGUCAUAGCAUGGU
rnacentral:lncRNA from 1 species